rnacentral:rRNA from 1 species
AUUGAACGCUGGCGGCGUGCCUAACACAUGCAAGUCGAGCGGUAACAGGUGUAGCAAUACAUGCUGACGAGCGGCGAACGGGUGAGUAAUGCUUCGGAAUCUACCUUAUGGUGGGGAAUAACUAGCCGAAAGGUUAGCUAAUACCGCAUACGUCCUACGGGAGAAAGCAGGGGAUCGCAAGACCUUGCGCCAAAAGAUGAGCCGAAGUCGGAUUAGCUAGUUGGUAGGGUAACGGCCUACCAAGGCGACGAUCCGUAGCUGGUCUGAGAGGACGACCAGCCACACUGGGACUGAGACAAGGCCCAGACUCCUACGGGAGGCAGCAGUGGGGAAUAUUGGACAAUGGGGGAAGCCCUGAUCCAGCGACGCCGCGUGUGUGAAGAAGGCCUGCGGGUUGUAAAGCACUUUUAGUGGGGAUGAAAUGUGCAGGGUUAAUACCUCUGCAUUUUGACCUAACCCACAGAAAAAGCACCGGCUAACUCUGUGCCAGCAGCCGCGGUAA